GAUGAACGCUGGCGGCGUGCUUAACACAUGCAAGUCGAACGGAAAGGCUCCUGCUUGCAGGGGUACUCGAGUGGCGAACGGGUGAGUAACACGUGGGUGAUCUGCCCUGCACUUCGGGAUAAGCCUGGGAAGCUGGGUCUAAUACCGGAUAGGACGAUGGUUUGGAUGCCAUUGUGGAAAGUUUUUCGGUGUGGGAUGAGCUCGCGGCCUAUCAGCUUGUUGGUGGGGUAAUGGCCUACCAAGGCGUCGACGGGUAGCCGGCCUGAGAGGGUGUACGGCCACAUUGGGACUGAGAUACGGCCCAGACUCCUACGGGAGGCAGCAGUGGGGAAUAUUGCACAAUGGGCGCAAGCCUGAUGCAGCGGCGCCGCGUGGGGGAUGACGGCCUUCGGGUUGUAAACUCCUUUCGCUAGGGACGAAGCGCAAGUGACGGUACCUGGAGAAGAAGCACUGGCUAACUACGUG
rnacentral:rRNA from 1 species